GAUGAGCGCUGGCGGCGCGCCUAACACAUGCAAGUCGAACGGUUAAAGCACCUUUUAGGUGUGUAUAAAGUGGCGAACGGCUGAGUAACACGUGGGCAACCUGCCCUCCUCUUGGGGAUAGCCUCGGGAAACCGAGGAUAAUACCCGAUACUUCAAUGUGGCCGCAUGACGACAUUGAGAAAGCUUUUGCGGAGAAGGAUGGGCCCGCGGCCUGUUAGCUUGUUGGUGGGGUAGAGGCCUACCAAGGCAAUGAUGGGUAGCUGGGUUGAGAGACCGACCAGCCAGAUUGGGACUGAGACACGGCCCAGACUCCUACGGGAGGCAGCAGUGGGGAAUCUUGCACAAUGGGCGAAAGCCUGAUGCAGCGACGCCGCGUGCGGGACGAAGGCCUUCGGGUUGUAAACCGCUUUCAGCAGGGACGAGGCGAUAAGUGACGGUACCUGCAGAAGAAGCCCCGGCUAACUACGUG
rnacentral:rRNA from 1 species